CUCAUUUCUCGAGAUAUUAUUUUCUUCUGUUCUCUCAUUCGUUUCACCCGUCAAGAUUAUUUUGUUUCAUAAUGAAUCAUUCUUUUAAGUAUUAUCUUUCAUUUCAUUUUCGUUAUUCGCUACUUUAUUUUUCAUCUUUCUCUUUACAAUCUUUUAGCAUUUUGAUUAAAUUCUCUAUAGUAUUACCACUUUCUUUUUCAUCUUUCUCUUUACAAUCUUUUAGCAUUUUGAUUAAAUUCUCUAUAGUAUUACCACUUUCUUUUUCAUCUUUCUCUUUACAAUCUUUUAGCAUUUUGAUUAAAUUUUUUUAGGCACUGUUUGGUUUGGGAAUAGGGAUAGGGAUAGGCCCUUAUCCCCCCUUUAUACCCAAACGCUAAUUUUUUACCCGAGAAUAGUAGUUCUCGCUUAUCACCACCAACAUCUCCAUUUUCUAUAUAAAACUUCCUAAUAUUUUUCUUAUCCUCGGGAACAACCCAAUUUUCAUCCAAACGCUAUUUUUUUUAUCCCCAUACUUGUACCUAUCCCUGUAAUAACUAGUUCUUGCUUAUACCCGAACCAAACGGUGCCUUAAGUGUUACCACUUUCCUAAGACUACC
rnacentral:lncRNA from 1 species